GAGGUUCCAAAAGAAAAGGCAAAACCAGUUCUUAAAGAAAAGGGUACUUAUCUAGUUGACAUUUUAAUUCAAAAUUCACGUUACAAAAUUGUCAAUUUAUUUGCUAUUUGCCAUUUGCUAUUUUAAAGUGCUACUGCCAAUGUUUUAUAGAACCCAAAAUAACCAAAGAAAAGCCAAAGCCAGCACCAAAGAAAGGUACUUUUUUCUUGUAAGAUUAACAUCUGAUAGAAUAAAGUUUAAGCUAUAUUAAACUAUUUAAUAAUGUUAAAUUAAAAGUUUUCCUUAUCUGUGUUUUACAUUUUAUAAAUGUUUUUCAUCGUCUCUAAUUCAGAAGCUGUAGCCAUCAAAGAAGAAGCUAAAGCAGCCCCCGUGAAGGAAGGUAUGAGUUUAUUUGAUUCUAUUUUUAGUGUGAUAUCCUGUGAAGCAAAUCAGGUUUCAGCCUCUUAAAAUAAUUAGGUUAUUUUAGUUGAGUCAUCAAUUUUUAGCCAAGCCAUAGGGCUUUUUUCAAUGUUUUUUAUUACUCUUAUUAUUUUAGAGGCUGAAAUUGUCAAAGAGAAAGCUAAAGCAACCCCUGUGAAGAAAGGUUUGAUUUACAUACUAUGCUCACAAUCACAUUACCACUGUUCCCAAGCAGAAUAUUAUAUCAUGCUAUAUUAAGUUUUUAAUUUGCUCUAAAUGUUAUUUUAUGAAUGUUUUAGAGGCUGAAGUCAUCAAAGAGAAAGCUAAACCAGCUCCUGAGAAGAAAGGUUAGAAUUACCAAUAUUUGACCUCCAAUUUAAAAAAAAAUAAUUAAAAAAUAAUUGAAAGAAAAAAAUCUUCAUAUUAUUGCCUUUUCAGUGUCUGAAGUCUUCAAGGAGAAAGUUAAGCAAGCGCCUCUAAAGAAAGGUAUGGAUGUCAAUGAAAUCAUCCUGCAUGUAGUAUUGCUUUCUUUUGUAUGAUUAUUAUAUAAAAUGAUUAUCACAUGAAACAAUACUGUUUUAUAGAGCCUGAAGUCUCGAAAGAAAAGUUAUUAGAGCCAACACCUAAAAAAGAUGAUGUUGGUCUUACUGGUUUGAACUUGGAACUCCUGAACUCUAUCAACCAAAAACUGUCUCUUCUGGACUUACUGAGGAAGGACAUUGGUGAAAUGAAGAGUGAUCUGGAGUCCACUCAAAAUCAAAUCACACUUUUACGGAUGGACAACAGAACAAUCAAAGAGCCAGAGACUGUCGGUGUAAAGGUAAAAGCAGCGGUCUCCAAGGAAAAGCUGAAAACAGCAAAAAAAGACCGUGAUGCUCUGAUGAACGUUACUAAGACAGCACAUAUUAAAACAGAACGUGAUGCACUAAAAAACAUCACUAAACCAGCACCUGCAAAGAAAGAUAAAGAGGCUCCAAAAGCUAACAUCAGACCAGAGCCCAAAAAGAAAGGUAAAAUAUAUAUUUACUGUUAACAAUUGAAAUCACCUACCAAUAUCAUUUUCUUUUUGCUAAGUAAAAAGAUUCUUAUUGUUGUAUCAGUGACUAAAAAUAUCUCUCCUGAUGCUAGAAAUCACCCGUGAGAAGGUCAAAGAAGAAAAGGAACCUUUAAAGAAAGGUACUAUGGCUGAUUGCAUAGAGUGAUUUACUAACACAGACUUUUCAUAUUCAUUUUAGCAAUAGUUCUUUACACUCCAAGAAUAUUCAUUAUUUUAUAUAUUCAUCAACAGGCUUGACAUUAAUAGUUGAUCA
rnacentral:lncRNA from 1 species